rnacentral:rRNA from 1 species
UACGAAGGGGGCUAGCGUUGUUCGGAAUUACUGGGCGUAAAGCGUGCGCAGGCGGCUUCUCAAGUCAGGGGGUGAAAGCCCAGAGCUCAACUCUGGAACUGCCUUUGAGACUGAGAGGCUUGAGUACGGGAGAGGUGAGUGGGAAUUCCCAGUGUAGAGGUGAAAUUCGUAGAUAUUGGGAAGAACACCGGUGGCGAAGGCGGCUCACUGGCCCGAAACUGACGCUCAUGCACGACAGCGUGGGGAUCAAACAGG